rnacentral:lncRNA from 1 species
AAUGGUGUUCCUUUUUGUUGAGCAGAAGAUCGAUGACAAGUUAUAUGUGUCAACAUCUGUUGUAUGUAUUCUUGUAGAGAAGGUAGGUCAAGCUAUAAGCCAGGCUGCAUGAGCAUUCUCACUAGUGAAGCGAGGUCCCAUCAUUAGGUGGUUCAGUUGUUGAAUUGUAUUCAUAUUACCUAUUCGAGUUUGAUGUUAUAUGUUUAAUAAAAUGCCGUUAUUGAAUUGUAUCCAUGUUACCUAUUCGGGUAAAUGCUAUUGUGAAAACUGGCUAUACCCGC